UAACCUGCCUGUAAGACUGGGAUAACUCCGGGAAACCGGAGCUAAUACCGGAUAGUUCCUUGAACCGCAUGGUUCAAGGAUGAAAGACGGUUUCGGCUGUCACUUACAGAUGGACCCGCGGCGCAUUAGCUAGUUGGUGAGGUAACGGCUCACCAAGGCGACGAUGCGUAGCCGACCUGAGAGGGUGAUCGGCCACACUGGGACUGAGACACGGCCCAGACUCCUACGGGAGGCAGCAGUAGGGAAUCUUCCGCAAUGGACGAAAGUCUGACGGAGCAACGCCGCGUGAGUGAUGAAGGUUUUCGGAUCGUAAAGCUCUGUUGUUAGGGAAGAACAAGUGCAAGAGUAACUGCUUGCACCUUGACGGUACCUAACCAGAAAGCCACGGCUAACUACGUGCCAGCAGCCGCGGUAAUACGUAGGUGGCAAGCGUUGUCCGGAAUUAUUGGGCGUAAAGGGCUCGCAGGCGGUUUCUUAAGUCUGAUGUGAAAGCCCCCGGCUCAACCGGGGAGGGUCAUUGGAAACUGGGAAACUUGAGUGCAGAAGAGGAGAGUGGAAUUCCACGUGUAGCGGUGAAAUGCGUAGAGAUGUGGAGGAACACCAGUGGCGAAGGCGACUCUCUGGUCUGUAACUGACGCUGAGGAGCGAAAGCGUGGGGAGCGAACAGGAUUAGAUACCCUGGUAGUCCACGCCGUAAACGAUGAGUGCUAAGUGUUAGGGGGUUUCCGCCCCUUAGUGCUGCAGCUAACGCA
rnacentral:rRNA from 1 species